UGGGGAAUUUUGGACAAUGGGCGAAAGCCUGAUCCAGCAAUGCCGCGUGUGUGAAGAAGGCCUUCGGGUUGUAAAGCACUUUUGUCCGGAAAGAAAUCCUUGGCUCUAAUACAGUCGGGGGAUGACGGUACCGGAAGAAUAAGCACCGGCUAACUACGUGCCAGCAGCCGCGGUAAUACGUAGGGUGCAAGCGUUAAUCGGAAUUACUGGGCGUAAAGCGUGCGCAGGCGGUUUGCUAAGACCGAUGUGAAAUCCCCGGGCUCAACCUGGGAACUGCAUUGGUGACUGGCAGGCUAGAGUAUGGCAGAGGGGGUAGAAUUCCACGUGUAGCAGUGAAAUGCGUAGAGAUGUGGAGGAAUACCGAUGGCGAAGGCAGCCCCCUGGGCCAAUACUGACGCUCAUGCACGAAAGCGUGGGGAGCAAAACAGGAUUAGAUACCCUGGUAGUCCACGCCCUAAACGAUGUCAACUAGUUGUUGGGGAUUCAUUUCCUUAGUAACGUAGCUAACGCGUGAAGUUGACCGCCUGGGGAGUACGGUCG
rnacentral:rRNA from 1 species